CGCCGGCCGGGAGCGGGUCGCAGCCGCCGCCGCCGCACCGAGCUGCCGCCGCGGGAGGCUUCGGGGUUUCAAAAUGGCGCCCAUUGCCGGUCGGCCUGAUCCGGUGACGUCAUCGCCCCGGCUCCCCUCCGGUGAGAAGAGCAACAGAUUUUUUCCCAUGGAAUUUUUGUCAGUCUUCCAAACUUCAGAGAAAAUCUGGUUGAGAAGUUGGUAUGUAGUGCUCUCUGCUGUCCUGGAGUUACAGCUGCAACAGGGAAACGUCAUCUGCUGUGGCUGAUCCUUUGCCACUCAUCCCGGAGGCUCGAGUGUUCUGGGUACUCCCUCGGUGGUUUCACACCCUCCUCUGAGGGAGCAGAGCUGACUGCACCGGGCUUCCCUCCGGGACGGCUGGAGGUAUUUAGGUCCCCAACUCAGGAUGUUGUUCACAAAGGAGGGGGAAAAAAAGAGUCAUGAGGAGAUGUCAUAUCUGACAAGUGCUGGCAAAUGCUGAAUCACAAUUCAUUCUCCACAUACAAAGCUGUUGCGGUGCUCGGUGUAUGGGAGCUCUGAGCGGCAGUGACGGGGCAGCUGGCGGAGACGGAGCAGCCUGGCAAGAGCCCUCGAGCAUCUCCUUGUCACUGGGAGCCUCACUGGAUGCUAUGAAGGCCUGUCCUGAACCCAAGCAGCUCCUUGGGCUUUCCGGGUUGCGAGGUGCCAACAUCUGCAGCCAGCGUCCGCCAAGGGAGAGCCUUCUGCCACUCCUCACCCUAACGCCCGACUUAGAGCUGCACAGCCCGUUCGACAGUAAGAGUUUACCGAGCUCGAUUAGCGUUGUAGCACCAUCAACACCGAUAUCUUGUUGUUCUUCACAACAUUCUGCCUACGCUGCAGGGAACCUUUGGCUGAAUGUUUCACAGGAUCCAUGCACUCAAACUCUGCACUUAAUAAAUUCUUCAGCACAUGAAGACCCUUUGUGGAAAACUUAAGUACAAAUGGCCGUGCUUUCAUUUUUAGACAGACCUUUUUCCCCCCAUAAAAAAGUGUUUCAAUUAAAUCACUGUGAGAGAUUCUCUGGUGAUCCGGGGGGUUCAGCCCAGGACCUCACUGCUGAAGCCCUGAAACUUCUGCUUACGUGCCAGACUGCCACGGUGAGUAAUGCAGCAUAAUUGUGUGUUUGGGGUUGAGUGCAGUCCACAGCUCCUGGGUACUUCAACUGGCUAUUUCUUGUACAAUACAUCCCACACAAUAGAUCUGAGAUUUCUGGCAUUGCCCACAUUGUGGGGUUGUCCUUGCUCUCUGGUAAUAGCACCAUAAACCACUCAUACCCUCCAGAACAAACACCUUACCUGAGAUGAGAUGGUAGGUAAAGUUGAUUAGAAGAUGCUGUUUUGGGGAAUUAAGUGCUCUUCAUCAGCUGAGUCAGUUACAUACCACUGAUUUGAGAUCUCUGGAAGGGAAGGGGUCUCUGGUCAGGUUGUGUUCCUCUGACCUGAGAUCCCAUUUUGCUUUCAGUUCCUACAGCAGAAGCAACAGAAAGCAUGAGCUAGCAUGGAUGGUAGCAAUAAAGCAAAAGAAAAGGGGUAAGCCUGUAAAAAUCAAAAUGGGUCAUACACUAUGCAGCUCCAGCUCUAAAUAUGCAGUGAUAAGGGCAAUAAGGAGAUGUAGCAUGAUGGAGCAAAGAGCUGAUAAUACACAUUGAAGGUUCAGGCUCUACCUGCUAGUAACGUGACAGUGGGCUUAAACCGGACAUGAAACAAACAGAAAGCAAUAAAGGCAAGAUAAGCCGGGACAUGAUUAAAGCAUCACUAACUGGGAUGUGCUGAGCUAGUAACUAGUACAAAACCAUCAUCUGAAUGAAAGCUGAUUAGAGUCAAAACAAUGAAGUUUUGCAUGCUUAAUUAAACUCAGUUCCCCGAGAAUGCUAGUUCUCCACCAGAACAGUUGCAAAGCUACUGGGGAGAUAUAAUUUCAGGUGGACACAUGCUUUGAGGUGUUGCAUACAAAGCUUUGAAAGGCAGCUCAUCACUAGCCUUCAAAAAAUCUUGAUUAAAAGUCAUCCAGGUCUAUUCCUCAGGGAAUAUAUCCAUAGUUUUCUUAAAAUUGUAUAGAAUGUGAAAAACCAGCCAGGCAUUGCUCAGACUCUGCUGCCCUUUCAGCUUGGAAACCAGCUGUUGAAUUCUGCCAGUGUGAUCAAGCUACAUAGGAGAUAGAUCGUGUACAAUGUUUUGAAUUUGGAUGUGUCUGAAGCAAGUUUUGCCCAAUGCGAAGCCCUGCGCAGCUCUGUACGGACGAAAUACCAGCCUGCAUUCUCCUCCUGGAUUUCGUUGUUGGUUUGAAAACCCAGCCAGGACUGUUCGAGGCUUGUAUGGGCUUGGGUUCAGCUAGGACCAAAUCUGGACCACCUCGUGAUUACAAUGGCUUGAAGUUCUUUGCUCUGAGGGUGGUGAGGCACCGGCAGAGGCUGCCCAGAGAAGCUGUGGCUGCCCCAUCCCUGGCAGUGCUCAAGGCCAGGUUGGAUGGGGCUUUGAGCAGCCUGGCCUAGUGGAAGGUGUCCCUGCCCAGGGUGGGGGGGGUUGGACUAGAUGAUCUUUAAGGUCCCUCCCAACCCAAACCAUUCUGUGUUUCUAUAUAAACCCAGGGCUUAAUGAGUGAAACUGUGUGAAUAGUAAAUCCAUGUGGCCUGCAAAAUGGCAGUGUGAAAUUCGACAGUACUUCUGCGUCUGUUUCUUUGAAAAUGGAAAUGAAGUUGGAACAAACAACAGCAGCUAAAAUUAACACAAGUUCCAUCUCCUUCAAUAGUGGGUGCUGAUUCCUGUUUCUAGGGAAACAGACAAGCUGGUGUAAAAGACAUCUUCUGAAAUGCCCAAAAUUGUUAGAAGUCUAAUACUAUCAGGCUGUGCUCUGUAAGCUUUAUGGUAGACUCCUUUCUGUUGGAAAGCUGGGUACAAAGCAAUACCCAGAGUUUUCUUUGUAGUGCUGAAAUUAGAGAUCUACUGCACAACCAAACUUUGCCAUAUUUUAGUUGUCUUUCAAACUGAUAUAAUUUUGACAGUUCCUCCUGGUCUGAUUUAUUGUUCUCUUAUACGAGUUUGUCAAAAAUCAACCAGAUGUAGAGCAGGAGAGCUUGCAGACUUUGUUAUAGCACCCAUCCCUCUCCUAAGCAUGAACUUCCAUAGCCUCCUGGGAAGCUACCUGGGCAGGGAUCCUUGCCAUGGCAUGGUCCAAGUCUGAAGCUCAGCUGAGCAGCUGUCCAUGCUGGACUGCUCAGCCUUGCCUAGCCAGAAUCCCUGUCCAGGGGAUGCCUUGCUCUCCUUCCAAGAAGCUCAUUGUGCUCGUCCCCUUUGCAGGACUUCAACAGAGAUUUUUGGCUAUAUAUCUGAGCCUGGGCCAUCAGGAAAAUUCAAUUGCUUGGGCAACCACUAUUUUACAGAGCAGCAGCCCAAGUUUGUAGUCAUGCGGGAGCUUCUCUUGGAAAAGAGUGGCAUUUGUCUCCUCCAUGCAAAUGAUUUAAUUUGUAUUCAAGUUUCAAAAGACUGCGGGGCCAAUACAAGCAGAUUUCAGAGCAGAAUUUCAAGUAGGGCUUCAAGCAGGUUGCAGAGCACAGGACAAAACAGGAGCAGAGGUGAACGUCGUGCAGCGUGGACUGCCUGUGGCUGGAGAAGAGGCAGUAUAGCCAGAGCUGCUCUGUUCUUGUUUCUCCUGUCCCCCUUAACUUCAGCCUUCCUUCUAAUUUCACAGUCAUAGACUGAGGGAUAAUUUCACGUACAUCUUGUUAAGCAAAUUUUUAAAAACAGCUGUUAGAUGUUUAGUUUUUCUGUUUCAAAGCACUCCCUUCUGCCCCAUGCCAGUGCUACAUAUCCCCUCCUCUUCCUCUGGUUUUACUUCAUCUGUUUCUCUCUAAGGUGUAAUGUCUUUCUCCUCUGUCACUCCUCAGCCUGUAUCUUCUUCCUCUGAACUUUUAUCUCUAUUAUUCUCCUCUGCUCUUCAUGCUUCUGUCUCCCACACUCUCAGCAUUCAUUCCAGUGCCAUCUUCACUCACAUAUUUUUCUAGCCUCCCUCCAAAAAUGACACAUUUAUGAAUCAACAUAAAACAUGUUCCAGCUACUCUUCCAAAAAACAUUGCCAUGCACAGGAAGUGUCUUCUCCAGCCACUCUCCCCGGGUGCUGAGAGUCUCCUGCUGAUACUUAUUUAUGCAUAUCGUAUUUGUCUAGGCAACAGCUAUGUUUUUUGUGCCUCAUUCUGCAGUAAAAUGCAAAGGUGUAAUUAUCAAGAACACAUUUUUUCCUACUACUAGUCAUUUAUUGUUUUCUACUAGUUGGCAGCUUUUUCCUGGGGCACCAUCAUUUUGCAUACAGAUGUUUUUUUGAAAAUGAACAUAAUGUGGAUUCGCUAGAACUGCAUUUUGUGGACUGUAGGUCUGCGCAACACUGCAGUCUUAUUAUUCCUGCCUAUUAAUCCUAGUGUUUCCCCCACUUCUGUUUCCUAGGCUGAUUGCUCUGUUUUAUCUCGGCUUUUCAGGGCAAAAUUUCAGGGGUUUUUUUCCACAUAUGCUCAGGUGGCCCUAGUCCUCAUGAGGGCUUUGGGCAUUGAAGUGGGUGAUCUCAAGAGCAGGUCCUGGCAGGGCAGAGCUAGAGGCACGUGCUUGAUGUUACAUCUGUAGCCUGUGGUGAGCCCACGCUUUCCUACAACCAAAAUCUCUCUUGGUUCUCUGUGCUCACAGCUAAUAAAGGAGCAUGGGCAAACCCCUGUCUGCCUGAUGCUCCGCAUGAGCUGUGCCUUCUCUCCACUACGAGCAUUGAUCCUGGAGUAAGUAUGCACCUCUUCACGUCACUUCAACUGCAACAUCAAACCGGAGAAGUAAGAGCUAAAACCGGCUUUAUCUGUGAAUUCCUUGGGAGCUCUUAAGGGUUAACAUCAAACUUUUACUGCAUUUUAAUGUAGGAGGGUUUUUAAUGUGGUGGUUUUGCAUGAAUAUACUUUAGAGGAACAGCACAGAAAAUAUUCUGAACUAUGACUAAGAACCAGUGAUCAGCAGAAUAAUCUCCAUCUGUUUUGCAAAAUCAAUUCUUGCUGCAGUUGGCCAAUAGAAGUAUUUCCAAAUGAAAUGGAAGCAUCAAACAAACGCAUCUGUGAGUUAGAACCUCUCAGUAGCUGGUUCAUAUGUGCAACAAAUAAUGAUCAGAAAGGACAUCUGUUACCGCGUUCAACAGGCAACAAGCCUAGAUUUGCAAGCACCUUGUUUUGACAUUAACUGGUGUAUGAGGAGACUAAUUUAUCUGUGAAAAGGUUAUUAAAGUACCUAGAGAUGGUGGAAAAAUUUGGAAUAGUCACAAAGGUAAAGCACUAAUUAAUUUAAAUAAUAUGGCAAAUAUAUACAAAUUGCAUGUUUCCCUUUGCCCACUUACUGAUCUACUCAGGUUUUGUGAUGCCCGUUCCUGGAGAGCAGUAGAUUUUUCAAAAGGAGGUGAUAGGCUGGUUCCAGACCUGAUGCAGUGAGGAUGUAGGUGUAAGUACGCAGCUGCUGUGCAAACUCAAACCCAUGGUUUGAUAGCUCCCUUCUCUGUGCUUGCCUAACACUGGUAGUACAUAAAGCUUGCUAAUCUUCUGUUUAGACAGAAAAUUCCCGAUGUGCCUGUAAUUCUUUCUGCCUAAAUCCACGGCCCUUCCAAGAAAUUCCUAAUUUCCAAGAAAGCCCCUUGUAAUCAGGAUUAAAGAGCUCCUGCAUCCUCUGGGACUCCAGCACAACCUUCUGCUGGGCCUGGAGAACCUGUUCUGUGGAGGUAAAGGUGGAUGAGGGAGCCUGUGUUGAGGGGUGCGUUUACAGCUGUAGCUUUAGGACAGAAAUUCUGGCUCUGGUGUCUGCCAUUGGGAUUAUUUCUGAUCUACCUAAUUAUUACUUGCUAUAAAAUGUGCACGCUUCCCACGCGCGCGUGGCUGGUGGGAUGUGGUAGCAGGUGUGAGCCUCCCCACACUGGUAGCGAGUUUGCUUCAGGAGCUGAGGAAACAGCCCCUCUGCCUGCAAAUGGAGAGAGAAACCCUGCAGGAGGUUAUAAGACCUUCUCUAUCUGUGUGAAAUGGCUUGCGAUGGGCUGAUGCUGUCUGGAAAGGCAUGAAAGUACGGCACUUCUUAGAGCUGUAGGGUAGGCACAGACUCCAGCUCUGCUGUGUGAGGGCUAAUCUGUUCAUGCACUUGAUGGACAAACCAUUGCUCUCCAGCGUGGCUGCUCCAGAAAGACUGUACUAAAAACUGCUCUGAGCUUGUCCAAGGACAACCAGGACACGUGAGGUCCUGCUGUUCCUCUUUAAGCCUUCAGUGAUACAAAACCUUUGUUAAAACUUGUAUCCCAUGUCUGAUUGCAUGUAUUCUUACAGUAGCAGUUUAUCCUUUUCUCUUACUACUCCAAUUAACAGGGCGGCUGAAACAAUAUUUUGCCCAGCUGUGCAUGCUGCUGGUAACCAGUUCUUGCUAAGUCUGUGCUCUACAUCUCUCCAUGCUGCUUCAAAUAUCAAACCAUGUUUGCCACAGCAUAUGCAGCUCCAUGUGCUGAAUUUUGGAGGUUUGAUACGGCUCGAUGAGGGGAACCAGGGCAGUGGUGGGGCCGGGGACUGGCAUCCUAUGGCUCCAGGCUGGGCUGAAAUAGCCCUGGCCCACGGGCAGGGUGGGAGGGGACCCUGGCAAUACUGUUUGGGAACAUUUGGGUUUUAUUAGUGCCCUCAGGGCCCUGACAGUGAGUAGGAAAAGUAAAGGUGUGAAAUAACGUAUUACCCCCCCACCCACCCCCGCCAAUAACCAACCAAAAAGCAACCCACAAAAUUUUGAACUGAAAGAAGCAGAAGUGUAAGUGGUGAGGUGUUGCGGUAUUAGACUUUUCCCAGCUUUGGCAGAUCUCUGGGUACCUAAUGAUGUACAUGGAAAAAAUCUAGUGUACCUGUCAUGGCAUUGAGCAAAAAGACAUUGAAGGAGGAAAAUAGGGGCUUGCCUUUUAAUUUUAUUGCAAUGCAGAGGAUAAGAAAGAGCUUAUUAGAGGUAAGAACAGAGAUGUUGCUAUUAAAAAUGUGCCUUUCUUCUAAAGGGACAGCUAAUCCUCAUGAGAGGUGCUGUCAGGAUCAGGAAAAUCAGCAAUUUGUUAGGUGAUGAGGCAAAAGGUGCUUUCAAAGUGUCUGUCAAGGAGGAAAUGCCUACCUUGCCUUGUCCAUCUUUCCCCACACCCCUGAGGGAAGUCACUUCCCAGCCUCUCAUUUCUUCACUUGGUGUCUCUUUGCAGCGAGGCAGUGCCGGGUGCUGAGGGUUCGCUCGCUCCCGGAGCAGGCUGUCAGCUCUGGGCUGCAUCCUGCAGCCGUUAUUCUGGCACAGCGGACAUUGCAGCCCGCUUUGCUUCAGUACCUGAGCCACUGUACUGAGGACUGGCUGGGUGGCUGCUGCGGUGGAAGGCGUAAAGAAAAGAAAGAGGUGAGCUGCUUUACCUGUGGACUGAAAUCCCUGCUGACGCAAAAAGGCUGGAGUGUUUCUAGUCUGGAUCCAAUUAGACAGGAAUUGCGAAGCACUUCCACCCAGCAGCGUUUGCCAUUAGGAUCAGCGGAAGGGAUUUGACUUCUGCACUUACGGAUACCCCUCUUUGGCAAGGAGUGGCAAAAUUAAAUCUUUGUGGAAACGUACCCUUUCCCGCCUGACGCUGAGUGAGGCACCUGGCCUAUUUAAAUCUCAGAAGGAAAUACAGAAAAUCUGCGCGAUAGUACGUCGCCUCCUGAGGAACACACAGGCUUGCAAAAACUGCUUCUGACUUGGGCUGGUGCCGUAACUUUUCGCAGCAUCAGGACAGGCUGGGCCGUCACAGGGCAGCGGACUUUCCACGCCACCUCUGAACGCCACUGUUUCUGUGCAGGGAGCUCUGUGGAGCCAAGCCUCUCUUCCCAGAGAUGUUCCCAGAGUUAACUGGGCUCCGUGUGGGCUCUCCUCCGUCUGCUGCCAGCUACGACUGCGGCAGAAGCACGAGGAGAUGGCAAAGCUUCAGCAUUUACAUAUCAUAUGGCCUACGUUGAAUUUUGGUCGUCGUUCUAAGGGAAACUCCGUCCAGCUUCUCAGUGCUUACCAGGACAUCUGUACAGAGAGUUGCUGAGUUGGAAAGAGCUGAAAAAUCAAAUACUUAUUCUGCCCUGCAAACACAAAUCCACGCUGGACUUGCAAAGGUUAAAUCCUCUCCUGGGAAGAGCAGAGCCUGACACAGCUCCAGUGGGAGUUUUCUACUUUCUCCCUCCCCAGCUCUGGGUCUCGCUGGGAGAUAAACCAAGAAGAACAUCCUGCCAAAGCCAAGCAGCUUAAAUAUUUCUCCUCCUUGACGUCCCGCGGAGUGGCCCCCGCUGUGCCGGGCAGCACCGGGGGUGCAGGGCUGCGGUCUCCACCUGGGCCACGAAGCCAACGUGACUUUGACAGCUGACCCUCCUGGUGUGGAUGUCAGUGUUUCAUUAGCAAGUACGUUCACAACCGACUGCUGCAGCAAUCUGUGUUUGGGGAAUGCGUGAGAAAUCACAGCGGCGCCUGAAUCACGAAGGCUCAGGGAUCCCGCAGCGUGCCUGCACCGGCAGGGGUGCCGACGCGGGGUCCCGGCGGGGUGCACCCCUCCGGCGGGUGGGGAUGCCGGCGUGGAGCGAGAGGAGGAGACCCACAUGGUUCUUCCGAGAGCUGUAAUGAUCUGGCGGGGACGGACCGUCAUCGCGAGCACCCUUAAGGGCGUGUUAGAAGCGAGAACGCCUUAGGUGAGAAGAGCUUGCCUUUCGCUCGGCGCCCCUGAGCCGAUGAGUCUCCUGACCCGCCCAGGACGGACUUUCCGCCAGAACACGAGCCGAGUACCGCCGCGCUGGUAAGCUGUGUCAACUCAGAUACGCAGCACCCCCCGCCCCGCCCCGCCCCGGGGUGCAGCGUGCGUAGCCUAACGGGUGCGGGGUCACCCGCUACCGAAGAACGAUGUUAGGUAUAAACAGGGCAUUGCUAAGGCGAGACCCCGCAGAAGCGCUAAGGCAUUAUCUUCAUUUUGAAAAUACCGCGGCGUUGGCGCCAAAUGGGUAGACCACGGUAUGGCAGCUCUGACGAAGGGACUGCCGAGUUCUACGGAUGCCUUUGGCCGCUCAGGAGAUUAAAAUAAAGGCUGUGAUUUUGGUUUUUGCCGAUUUUGCUUUUACUUACAAGUCAAGGAGCGCAGGUCGCUAUAUACGAAGGUAUUUGCUGUGCUGUGGGGAGCAGCUCUGCGCGCGCCCGCAUCACGGUGCCCGCCGAGCCGAUGCGCUUCCGCUCAGUGCUGUGGUGGGCAACGUCGCCAGGCCAAGUCUACGAGACAUUUUUAUGACCAGAAAACUUCCAUUUCUAAUUUUUAAGAUUUUGAAGUGCGGUAUUUAAUAUCACAAAACCCUGCUGGUUUUGCAAUUUUUGUCCUGAAUUUCGAAAUUAAUUCCAAAUGAGUUUAUUCAGAAAUGAAUUACGAUCAAUCUAUUUUAAUAGGAAAAAUGAGACAAGCAGGUUGUUUCAUACAAUAAACAUUUCAAACUAUAUUAACAGUAUAAAAAUGAUUAUUUGGGGGGGAUCUUUUACAACUUAAUUCCAUCCCUAUUUUCUAUUUUUAACCGUUAAUCAAAGCUCUGGCUUGUUGGGAAAUAUAAUAAGUCUUUAUAUCCCCAAAGCUUUUAAAUUAUUCACUGUGCUUACUGUUCUCCUUCUGACAGGAGAUUAUCCUUUUUAAUUGGAAUUUUUCUAUUAUUUGCGUCUGAAAUGUUUGAAAGUCAAAGCGAGGCCUCAGAUACUAUUAAUAGGAAACGUAACACAGGCGGGGGAUGUACGGAGGCUUUUCACUGCAAGUGCAUUAACCGAGUCAGCUGCACGGGCCACGCUCAGAGCACAGCACCGUACAGCAAAACUCCCGCUCUCUUCUGCAGUUUCUUUUCUUUUUCAACCCCACCCCUCCCGUCCUUAUGCAGCCCCGGAGCAGGAACUUGUCCCAACCUGGGGCUUGUUUCUCCAUCCGAAACUCUCCAUCCUGUCGGUGCCAUCUUUAGUAGUCGUUAACACGCGCGUCGUGCGUAACCGGGCGCGGUGGAACGCGCGGUUUGUGCUCAGCCUCAGGGAAGAGCCGGGCUUGCUUCGCUUCAGCCUCGGUGUCGUCGCCAAACUUGAGCGGUGGUAAUUUGCUAAUUCCUCCCUAGGUUAUUAUUGGUAAAAAUGUUUAAUAUCAUUCUAAGAAGACAUUGAUUUUAAGUCAUUGGAUCCCAGGCUUCCAUGCCUGACUGUUCCUGGACAUUGCUCCUCACCUGCAGAGACUCGCGCAAAGACCGCGCAAAGCUUUGGGUUUCUCCUCUCUUUUUUUCUUCCCUUCUUACUUUGAAGUUAGAUCAUUUGUGCAUUUCAGUCUGUCGGAUGCUCAAAGAAGCGCGAGAAAGAAGAGGAGAAAAAACCAAGCAACCUUCAGCUGCCGAACACCUCAUCAAAUGCAGUUGUCGUUUGCUGAGCAGGUCGAGCUGCGGGUGCCCGCGGCCCGCCGGGGCGCGACCGCCAGGCUGGGGCUCCCGCGCCCCGCGAGGCUGCGCCGCCGGCCCUGCCGCCGCCUCUUCGGCUGACGGGUUUCUCGCUUGGAAACGAAAAGUCGGGUCUGCGUCCCAAGCCGCUUGCCGCGGGCCUGGGAGACGUGCGCCGGGACAAGGGCUCCGGGAAGGUGCGCCUGCUGCCGACGGGGAGCAGAUGUGGCGAUGUGUAUAACUUCAUCUAGGUAAGCCCUCCUGGUGCUAAAUUAUUUAUUGAACAAUAUUCCUCUUCCCCAGGACUCAGCACCUGCCGCCAGCCCCUGCUCACGGGUGCGUUCUGCCGCCGCGGGCGCGGGCUCCUGCUAACGCCGACGGGAACGCGCGCAGGAGAGCAGGCUGUUCCCCCGCACGCCUCCAGCACCCGGCACAGAGCCCGAGCUUAACGCAGGGCCUAAACCAACAAGCAAGUUAGAGCAAGGUCUCUUUACUGGGGAGCACCUCAAUGGGUAUUGCGCUCCGCAGGCGUGCGCUUUUCUAAUAAUCGCUUUUUCCUGGAGAGCUAGACUCGAGUAAUGCAUUUUUUAGAGUGUUUCAGGAGAAAUUCAGUCAGUUUAGAGGAUUAUACGAUGUCUCAUCACCAAAGAAGCAAUAGCUACAUCAAUCAGAGGUGUGAGACUACCACUUAGGCGCUCCCUGGCUUUCUCUAAAGGAUGUAAAUUAGAUAUAUCUAACACCGCCUGUAACAGAAGAUGCAGAUGCCGCACCUAAAGAGGAGAAUAUAACACGUGAGUGAUCAUAGCCAUCAGGGGGAGUGGGAGGACAGGAGGCCUUAAAACUGGUCUUUAGAGCCACAUUUCCUUAGACCAUUUUUAUAGCCUGGAAAUUAUGAAGGAAGCUAUGCUUCGUGUUAGCAGAUUUUGCUAACGUUGCAUUGCAAGUAGCUUUUAAUUCUUCUAAUCUUCAAUUUUGCUUACAGUUUUUAAGCAUGAUUUUCAGACUAUUAUCUUAAAAGUAGUAAAAUAUAAUAUUUGUGGCGAGAAUUCCAAAAUACUUUGUUCUGAACUUAAAAGAAUUAUCGGUGUCGUACAUAUCACCAACGCUUCAACUGGGUAAUUCCUCUAAAAAUAAGUUAUACCUGAAAGGAAAAUGAACUUUUUAGGUGAGUCAGCCUGCGUACUUCAGAAAAAGCAGCAUUUCUUUCUAGCAGACGUAGGACCCUGUCACAUUCCCGCGGCGAUAAGCAAGGUACGUUCUUGGUUUUAAGGAGAAUUUGCUGCCCGUUUUGGCUCUGCUCCUUGUCCCGGGGGAGGAGGAGGGCUCGGUCGCACAGGUAGCCCCACGCCUCAGCGCGGGUUACAUCAAACGAAAGGGAUCUCUUGUGCUUGUGAGCACGGGGAGGGGUUUCCUCUGCCUGUGCCUUGGAUUAAGCAGUUUGUUGAAUUAUUCUGUGGCACGGGCUGAGUUGUUCCAGGCUUCCAAUGAAUAGUUGCAUUGUCGGUCUUACAGUGAAGUUUCGUUGCAAAAACUCUUCUGUUUUAGUAUCUCCUCUGAAAUAUAUUCCUAAAAAUACGCCACAGGGAUUUGCUUCUUCAAAUAUCCAGGAGGAAACUCACUGACUAAAGGAUGCACAGAAAGUGGAUGUACAAAGCACAGGACUUCCCUGAAGUCAGAGCGGGUUCUUACGCAAACAAAUACUUCUGGUUAAAUUUUCAAACGUUGCCCCAGUUCUGGUAAGGGUAAUAACUUAGAUUUAGAAGCUUACCUAAACAUAACAGACAUCCCCAAUCCCUGUACGCGGAGUGCUGGAAAACCACACGUAGGAGAAGGCACAGGAAUAACAGGGGUUUUUUUUCCUUUGCUAAUAAACACGUCACUUAACUGUGAAGUUAGACCUCUCUGUGCUUGAAUCCAGUUAAUUAAAGAAGUGUUAGGUGCAUAAAUACCUUGACAGAUCCUGACUAUAUUCCUACUAAAUUUAAUUUUCAGCAAUCCCAUAGAAAGACUAGAAGAACAUGGAAGAAAAUGUUGCUUUUACUCUGGAAAACAUGAGGAAUUUUAAAAAAAAUUCGGUUACUGAUUCAGUCCAUAUGGGUUAUUCAUCCUGGGAGAGGAAAAUAUUCUGCCUUGGAUAAUUAACCUGCUGCAGAAGCUGAGGAUUUAACCCCACUUAAGGAACCAAGUUUGGUGUCUGUCUGAGGACCUCACUGAGCUCCUCGGUGCCGAGGAAGCCACCAAGAACCGGACCUGCCUGGAUGUCCUGGAAGUAGUGAAGUUUGGGGCAUAAAGGAACCUCAGAGCAAGCCCCCUCCGAAAGGGACACGACGACCAAGUGACCCCAUUGAGGUGCGGGAUUCAGAAUUACUGUACGGGUAUGCCUUCCCAAAGCACGUUGUAACUGAGCGAUUAAAAUACAAGGCUCCACGUUGGCUAUCCGUGCUGCUGGCUCACCUCUCAAAGCAGGCCUCUUUGGCUAAUUUUGUCCUAACAUUCGGAGGCAGGGGAACAGCAGGCUCGGGGGGCUCAUUCGCCAGCGCUCGCUGGGACGGAGCCAUCCCACCUGCGUUAUUUGUGCGUUGGCGUGGCCCUCGCUGGGGUUUUGAAGGACGCACAGCGAAGACCAGGGCAGCCAGGUGGAAGCAGCGGCGAAUGCGGGGCCCCGUCCCGGUGCAGCCCUGACGUGAGACGGGUGAACCACCGCGCUUCGGGGACCGCUCCAGCACCGCCCUGGCUGCCCCAGCCCAGCUUCCCGCCGGGACAUCGGGCGGGCGCCCUCAGCGGGAGCCUCGCUGGCAAUACCUUGUUCACAUCACCAGCAGUUCCUCCAGCCUCAUCCUCCCGCGUGCGCGAUUCUCCGUGCUUUCCAAAGCCUGGAGAGGGCAAGGCAGUCGCCCCCGGGAAGGUGUUACGCUGAAAUGCCACGUAGGAGAAGGGACCUCUUCAUCUUACAUCUCUAAAGGAAGGGGAUUAAUUUUUUUAUUUUAUAGUCAUAGGCGGUACCUCCUUAAUGGCCUUUGUAACCGUGAUCAUCGAGUAUUAAGCGCUAUGUUUGAUUCCAUCUAGUUCUCCAUGCGGUGACUAAUUCCAGUCCCUGUAAGAAGUCAUCAGGGUCUGCCAGAGCUGCCAGAGAUUCACUGCAAUAAGCUGGAAGGGGUUUCCUAAAUACGUUACACGCUGUAACUCACCGUUUCUGCCCAUUUGCUCCUUACGUGCCCAUUGACAAUUAACGUACCUCAAAUAUCUCCAGCCAAAACGAACUUGUAAAUGAUUCAGGCGUUUCUGUGGGGGGGUUAUCGGCUGCCUCAAACAUUAAUAAUCCUCCUAUUAUAAAAGCAUCUUUGAUGCGUGACUGAUUUGGAUGAACAUCGAAGUGCUUUUUCCCGAAGAAAUGUGCUCAUGUGGUCUCAAAAUGGGGAAUUUCUCAUGUGACGCAGCGGUGUCGCCUUGGAUCGUAGCAACGACCUGGGAUCAGGCAAGGUCUGCCUUUCCGGACAGCCGGCGGCUUCCAGCAAGGAUUUCUCUAAAAGUCCAGCCUCUUACUCAGAAUAGCGAUUGCUCAGAAUAGCCUAAACCAGAUGGACUCUGACUAGGUAAACAUGAAAAUAGGAACCUCAGAAAUGUCUUUUAUGUUUACUUUGAGGCAAAGUUAUUUUAAUGAAUUCCAAUUAACUUUUUUUUUAAAAAAAAAAAUCAUGUUUGCCAGACAGUCCCUGUGGUUAACAAGAGAUGCAGAUGUUUUUUGUGCUAAUUGUUCUAAGUGUUUCUCCACUUUGCAUUCAGGGUGCACCGGCUCACAUUGCCCCAUGGUAUUUAAAUAAGAAAAACUGAUUCCAUGAUGCUUUAUUUCACCAAAAUGGAAAAAUAAAACCUGCUACACUUUGCA